rnacentral:rRNA from 1 species
AGAGUUUGAUCCUGGCUCAGGACGAACGCUGGCGGCGUGCCUAACACAUGCAAGUCGAACGGGGCUCUUUGGAUCGAGACUUCGGUCAAGUGAAGUAAGAGCUUAGUGGCGGACGGGUGAGUAACGCGUGAGCAACCUGCCUUUCAGAGGGGGACAACAGUUGGAAACGACUGCUAAUACCGCAUAAUGUGUUUUGGGGGCAUCCCCGGAACACCAAAGAUUUAUCGCUGAAAGAUGGGCUCGCGUCUGAUUAGCUGGUUGGUGGGGUAACGGCCUACCAAGGCGACGAUCAGUAGCCGGACUGAGAGGUUGAACGGCCACAUUGGGACUGAGAUACGGCCCAGACUCCUACGGGAGGCAGCAGUGGGGAAUAUUGGGCAAUGGGGGCAACCCUGACCCAGCAACGCCGCGUGAAGGAAGAAGGCUUUCGGGUUGUAAACUUCUUUUACCAGGGACGAAGACGUGACGGUACCUGGAGAAAAAGCCACGGCUAACUACGUGCCAGCAGCCGCGGU